rnacentral:tRNA from 1 species
GGGGCGGUAGUUCAGUUGGUUAGAACGCCGGCCUGUCACGUCGGAGGUCGCGGGUUCAAGUCCCGUCCGCCCCGCCA